CACUUCUAUUGGUAUAAACGUGCAGUGCAGCUGGAAAAAGAAUGGAAAAUGUGCGUGCAUGCGUGAGAAAGAUCAGUAAAAAAGGAUCGAUGAAGAAUGGAGCCUGCAAAAGGCUGUUUCUGACAUUACUCAUUGCUUUGAUUGGAGGAGGUCAGGUUUUUAUUAAUUUUUAACCCACUGGGUAUGUUAGAGCUGUACAGAGGUGAGCUGGGACGGUUGGUCUUUUGAUGGAUUAUAAUUUGAAGAGGAGAAUGGCAGUGUCAGGAUGACUGCUGCUCUGGGUUUAGGGAGUUCUCAAUAUCCUUGCACAAGGCUGUGGUGCCAGGACAGCUCUGCCAGCACCAGGAGAGUGCUGAUGUGCCCUGUAUCGUGUCUCUUACAGGAAUGGAGAAAGUCUGAGGCAAGGCCUGGGCUGCCAGGCACGCUCCACACUGGUUGCCAUCAGGGAAGCAGCUCUCCUCUAUGCCAAAGCCUCUAGUGGAUUGUCUUGCAGGGCUUCCAGGGACCUCUUCAGGAGUACAGCUGCUCCUGGGCAGAGUUUGACCCCUGGUUCAUCCCAGGUAAUGCAGGGCUUAGCCAAGGAGCCCGUGUACUGGAACUGCUGAUACUCCUUGGAGAGAAUCCCAAAUGUCAGUCCACUUCAGUGUCUGACUUGCUCCCUCGAGGCAUGUCCCUCUCCAUCCUCUGUGGAGGGGCAGGAUAAGCUGUUUAUGGAGGUACCUCAGGAAGCGAAUGGGGCUGCCCGAGAUGCCUUUAAUAGGCGUAAGGUGGGGGUGAGCCCUGCACCUGAGCACAGCUGUGAUGUCAAUCACAAAAACAUGCAGAGCAAAAGCAGAGGGGGAUGGGAUGCAUUUCCUGAGUUGGUCAUGGCUCAAGGCAGUGUGAUUAGGUCUUGCCCAUGUUACCAAAGCACAGUCAGCAUGCUUGCCUCGAGCCAGGGCGGCUGGAGCUGAGUGAUGGCAUUGGAGCAGGACUCCAGCCAGCCACUUACUCUCUGGCAGCAGCAGCAGCGAGCGAGUCAGGUAAAGUUGGAAGAAACUGCAGUGCAGAGUUACGGGAAAGCCUACUCUGGAGGUUGUGCCUUCCUACCCCUGCCAAUGCUGCAGAAGGUGGCUGGCAGUAGAAACUCACAACAGCUUGUCCUUUUGCAUGCAUGUGUUGGUUAGAUUAAAGGUUAAUCUGAGCAGAACUUCUGUUUUUUAAUAAUCUGUUGCUAUGCCACCCCUCCGAUCCGUGCAGUGCAGCUGGCUUGCCUUGCACCGCUCUCCCCUUUGGCUGCCCCAGAACAAGGCCACUCGGCAAGAGGGGAACCACACGGUUUGGGCAGCUCGGUGUUCUCUGAGAAGCACAGGGUGAAAUGCAGUGCGUGUGACCCCUGCAAUGGCACCUCCUGUCCAUUCAGUGCCACACAUCUUCCCUGUUCUUGGUCCUUCUUUUUCCAGCAUUUUACUCACCAAGCCACUGUUUUUGAAUCAAGAAUGCAAUAAACCUGGGGGACUUGUGUAAUGCAAGCAGCAGCCUGGGCAGCUGAGCCUGCUUUGGGCCCAGGGAUAUCAUAGCACCCCAGCGGUGUAGGCCCAGCACAAACCCCAUUGGCCUUCUCCUCUCUCUGCUACAUCAAAAAGUUAGUGGGCUGGAGGGAUGGUUGUUCUGACCGCUUCUUGGGCCAUGCUGAGCCACCUGUACCUGGUGUGUGGGGAGGUACAUGGUCAGCUCCGAGGGAUCUGCCUUUGCUUGCGUGUAUUCCAGAGUUGCAGCAGUGAAAUCUCAGCCCAUUUUGACCUGGAUGACCACAGGGUUGCUGAGUGCGCGCAGCUGUGUCCACUCCUGGGGUAGGUGAGGGAGUGACCGUUUCCGUGCCAAAAUCUGCUGCUGCUGACAGUGACCUCCCUGGAGCAAACAGCAGUGGAGUCAGUCGAUCGACCCUUGGAGCUCUUCUCAUGGAGGUUUAUGUAGCAUGCUUGGCCCAUUUACCUUGCAGUACCUUAUACUGGCUCAAAAACUGGACCUUAUACUGGCACAAAACCUGUACCUUGUGCUGGCACACAUGCACGCCGGCCAAACAGAGAAAAGAAAUAAAGAUAACAAGGAUUUAA